UACGGGGGGAGCAAGCGUUGUUCGGAUUUACUGGGCGUAAAGGGCGCGUAGGCGGCCACCGCAAGUCGGUUGUGAAAUCUCUGGGCUUAACCCAGAAAGGUCAACCGAUACUGCGGGGCUAGAGUGCAGAAGGGGCAACUGGAAUUCUCGGUGUAGCGGUGAAAUGCGUAGAUAUCGAGAGGAACACCUGCGGCGAAGGCGGGUUGCUGGGCUGACACGUGACGCUGAAGCGCGAAAGCUAGGGGAGCGAACAGG
rnacentral:rRNA from 1 species